CACUAGUUUACCAGUUGUCCGGCAGGGCAAUGCUGGGUAGCCACGCUCCAGUGGAUAAGAGCUGAAAGCAUCUAAGCUCGAAGUCAUCCGAAAGACGAGACACCUCAGGGGGCUCGUAGAAGACGAGUUUGAUAGACAGCGGGUGUAAGUACCGAGGUUUUCCGAGGUAUUCAGCCCAGCUGCACUAACUCCCCGAGCAUCCAAUUUC
rfam:Euryarchaeota archaeon TMED97 MHASMcontig_235960, whole genome shotgun sequence.